AUUGCCCCUAGAGACAUUCCAGGUGUGGCUGCUGUGUCACAUGUGUGACAGCAGGUGGCAGAGAGGGGAGAGGCUAUGUCUACGCUCUGUUGUCUGACCUAUGAAUGUCUGAAAGACUAGUAGCCUAACAUU